rnacentral:rRNA from 1 species
GAUGAACGCUGGCGGCGUGCCUAAUGCAUGCAAGUCGAGCGAAUGGAUUAAGAGCUUGCUCUUAUGAAGUUAGCGGCGGACGGGUGAGUAACACGUGGGUAACCUGCCCAUAAGACUGGGAUAACUCCGGGAAACCGGGGCUAAUACCGGAUAACAUUUUGAACCGCAUGGUUCGAAAUUGAAAGGCGGCUUCGGCUGUCACUUAUGGAUGGACCCGCGUCGCAUUAGCUAGUUGGUGAGGUAACGGCUCACCAAGGCAACGAUGCGUAGCCGACCGGGGAGGGUGAUCGGCCACACUAGGAAUGAGACACGGCCCAGACUCCUACGGGAGGCAGCAGUAGGGAAUCUUCCGCAAUGGACGAAAGUCUGACGGAGCAACGCCGCGUGAGUGAUGAAGGCUUUCGGGUCGUAAAACUCUGUUGUUAGGGAAGAACAAGUGCUAGUUGAAUAAGCUGGCACCUUGACGGUACCUAACCAGAAAGCCACGGCUAACUACGUGCCAGCCGCCGCCGUAA